AUGUGCACGCUUGUCACCUUUAUAUUUCCACCUGUGCACCUUUUGUAGACCUGGAUAUCUAUCUGGAUGCUAGCCAUUCGGGAUUGAGGAUUGACUUCAUGUCUUUUCCUUACAUUUCCAGGCCUAUGUUUCUUCAUAUACCCCAAUGUAUGUCAUAGAAUGUAAUCAAAUGGCCUCUGUGCCUAUAAACCUAUACAACUUUCAGCAACGGAUCUCUUGGCUCUCGCAUCGAUGAAGAACGCAGCGAAAUGCGAUAAGUAAUGUGAAUUGCAGAAUUCAGUGAAUCAUCGAAUCUUUGAACGCACCUUGCGCUCCUUGGUAUUCCGAGGAGCAUGCCUGUUUGAGUGUCAUUAAUAUAUAUCAACCUCUUCAGCUUUUGCUUGUCGAGUGUUGGAUGUGGGGGUCUUUUUUUUNGCUGGUCUUCUCAGGUCAGCUCCCCUGAAAUGCAUUAGCGGAACAAUUUGUGGACCGUUCAUUGGUGUGAUAACUAUCUACGCUAUUGACGUGAAGCAGUUCGGCUUCAAACAGUCCAUUGACUUGGACAAAUUUUCAUUAGUGUGACCUCAAAUCAGGUAGGACUACCCGCUGAACUUAAGCAUAUCAAUAAGCGGAGGAAAAGAAACUAACAAGGAUUCCC
rnacentral:rRNA from 1 species